CUACGGGAGGCUGCAGUGAGGAAUAUUGCACAAUGGGGGGAACCCUGAUGCAGCAACGCCGCGUGGAGGAUGACGCAUUUCGGUGUGUAAACUCCUUUUAUAUGUCAAGAAAAUGACGGUAGCAUAUGAAUAAGCACCGGCUAACUCCGUGCCAGCAGCCGCGGUAAUACGGAGGGUGCAAGCGUUACUCGGAAUCACUGGGCGUAAAGGACGCGUAGGCGGGUUGGAAAGUCAGGUGUGAAAUCCUACAGCUUAACUGUAGAACUGCACUUGAAACUUCUAAUCUAGAGUAUGGGAGGGAAGAUGGAAUUAGUGGUGUAGGGGUAAAAUCCGUAGAUAUCACUAGGAAUACCUAAAGCGAAGGCGAUCUCCUGGAACAUUACUGACGCUAAGGCGUGAAAGCGUGGGGAGCAAACAGGAUUAGAUACCCCGGUAGUC
rnacentral:rRNA from 1 species